AAGCUUACAGGAAAAAUGUAAGUGGUGAGCACAAGCAAAACUGAUACAAGAUCUCUUUGUGAGUAUUUCAAAGUGAUCUAAAAUCAGAUUUCAGUGUGAGCUUCUGGGAAAAAAGACAUACAAACACAAAAGAUCAAUUCUGCAUCAGUUACCUGGGGAUCAGUGGUCUGCUGUGCUGUGUCUCGCUUUCCUCAGGAUGCAUGUGCUGAGCGCGCCCUGUGCUGGGGACCAGGAUGCAGGCAAGCACCUGCAGGGAUGCAGGAUCAAGGAGGGGAGCGCGGUGCUCCCUGCUGGCACAGGUGGCCCUGGGGACAUCAGCUGGGGGGAGCACAGCCCCUGCAGAACAAAUCCCUGAGUUUUGAGACCCUCGGCCCAUGUGGCCGUUUCUGUUGGGUUAUGAUACCCCAAUCCAUCCAUUGGGGUAUCCACAGUUGCAGAUUCCAGGGCAGGUGGAGGAAAAGCGAAACCAGAGCAGCGUGUUGGUGAGGAAUGACACUUCUGGCAAGCCCACAUUUAUUCACAGAAAUCUGGUUAGCCAGAUUCAAAGUCAUUUUACUUAAAUCUGUGAAGUUUCCAUCUGAAUAAGGACUUUAAAAGCGAGCAGAUUGUGCUACAUCAAGCUCACUGGUCCACUGCAACUGUCUGCAGCAAACGCUGAUUUGGGGUAACACAGCCCUGUUGAAAGGGAAAAAAAACUGCAAAGGGAAUUAGCUGAAGGAACAUCCGUCCCAAUGGGUCGGAGUGAUGAUAUUUUUAUGUAGAGGCUUUAAUUAAAUGAACAGCAUCUCCUUGUGCAAGCAGCUCCGGGCUGCGGCAGGGUGUUGAGGCAUGGUGCUCCCUUGUGCCCUGUCCCAGGACGGCCGCAGCAGCGCGGUCGGGCUCGCUGCCCCUCUCGCCGCCCGUGUGCAUAAACACGCGCCGUGCCAGAACAGCCUGCCGGGUGGGUCACUCCAGGUAAAACCAACAGGAUGUGUGUGCUUCGACUUCCCUUGGCAGCAAAAACAGCCUCAGUGCCUCGCCAGGAAACCAGCCCCGCUGCCAGGUGCGCGCUGUCCGUCUGUCUGUCCGUCAGCAGCAGGGUGUCAGCGGGGCGUUUUGUCCCAGUGCUACACCACGAGUGGCACGAGCCGCCUGCCCAAGGAGAGCCUGGCGUGCCCCUUGUUUUGGUCAUCCUUUGGUUGCUGCCUCGCAUCCUGUAGGAGAGCUGGGGGUUUAAGGAGUGGGUCUGAGGAAAAGCAAGCCUGCUCCCGUCAGCACCAGGGGAAAGGACCGUGGGGUGAGGACUGCUGGAGAAGCUCUGUGGUGUGGUCUGGUGCCUCGUCCGCUUUUUUGGAUGGUUUUGGCUGAUCUGAUUGAAGAUGUGGCUUCUUGCCAGUGAAGCCCAUAAUUUUACCUGCAUGAGUCUUGCUGAGAGCAGUUCUGGAUUAUUGGCAGGUGAAGACCUUACUGUUAGGAGCGUCCUCUGGCCCUUGGUUUGGUCUCAAGGUCUUUCACAUGCCCCCUAUUUGAGCAGCAGCACCUUUCACAGAGUUCACUCAGUCAGUCCUGCCCUUAUCCAACAGCCUGCACAUCUCCUUACGCAUCGAAAACCACCAAGGAGCUGCUUUCACUGCAGCUCGUGUUCAAUGCAUGCUCCCCUGAGAACCUCACCUCUUCCAUUGCUGCUGCUUUCCAGCACUGGGGCACAGCCUGCCUUGCUCCCAAGCUGCCCUCCUCCACACUUACAAAUAAAAUGAUAUGAAUAAUGUGUAUAUGUUUUUAAUUUCAGAUAAUUCCUGUCUGGCCCCACUUCUCCUUAAAAUUAUCCCAGAGUGCCCCUUGCAAAUAGAGGUGUAUUUUGCUAUCGGAUGGGCAGCACUGCUGAGCCCAGCCCCUCUUUCAGUGCUCUGCUGGGCAGCAGUUGUGCAGCUAGGGGAGGUUGGCCAGGCUUCAACCAGCACCCACAGCCUGCUCCUCUUCACUUCUCCCUCCUAGGUCUUUCUGCACUGAUUGGAGCGAAACUUGUUUUCUCAUUGCUUUUCCCCCGACUGAGUAAAUAUGUGCUCAGUGCUGCGGCAUUGUUCUUUGGUUUUGGGCUCUUUCCAGCUGAUUAAUUAUUACAGCCACACAGAGGCCGGGUGGUUUUUGCAAUGUGAGAAUGGGGAUGUGCGUCAGACCACUGGCCUGACCAGCCCAGUAUCCUGUCUCCUGCGAUGACUUGGAACAAGCAUUUGGGACAAGAUUUUUGGAGCCAGGGCAAGGCCCCAUGCAUUGAAUAAUCGCGUGAGUUGGACGAGAGCUGCUCCCAGUCCACCCAAGAAGACUUUCCUCCUCCAGAUGCCGGCGGGCUGUGCCCUUGGUGUGUGGCAGCCUGCUCUCUGCCCCAGCAAGGCCUGGUGUUGCUCAAGAUGGUGGCUGCCAGUGCGCCCUGAGUGCUGGGCUCCUCACGUCGGCCAGGCCCCGCCAAGCAGGAGGGAGGGGAGAAAAGAAACAGGAACUUCUCUUUGGGACCGUAUCAUCACAAAACUGAGAGAAGAAGUGAAAAUUUAGAUGAAAAGUAUGGCUUUUAGUGAAAUAUGGCGGACUGGGUAAUCUUACAGGGAGCCAUUCCCAUGCUGUGGUCUAUGGAGGAAUGGCUGGAUUUGGUACAUUUCAGCUCCUCAUUUCCAGAUGCUAAACAUCUGCAUUAAACAUCAGAUACCAUUCUAUGAGGCAUUCCCUUGGUGUCUUCCCAUGCACAGGGAAAUCUCAGACACUCUCUGGAGUGAAAUUCAGCCAAACAACACUGCUUACACCUCAGCUUCCCUGUAGGGAUAUAAAGUGUUGCAUGCAGUUUUGUAUGCCCGCUAUGGUCAGCACGAUAAGUCACCUACAUCUCUUGGCUUAAGAAGAAAUUGCAGGAAGGAUGGAAGGAGAGGAAAGAGAAAGAAAGAAAGAGAAAGAAAAAGAAAUUGAAAAAUAAAAUAAAAUUGAAAAUCAGAUCAAAGCUUUAAAAUUAGCUACCCAUUGCUGAAAGAGGUAUCAAGCUAAAAUAUGUAAUUGCCGGGCUGACUGUUAAAAAAAAGUGUCUUUAUUAAAUUAAAGCAUUUUAUAUA